GUCAGGUUGGCUAAUCGGUCAAAGGCGCUGCGUUUAGAUCACCUUCCACUUCUGUGGGCGUGGGUUCGAUCCCACAUCUGACA